CAACGGUUACUUUGAUUUUUUAUUUUUUUGGCUAGUGCCACUACCCACCUCUUUUCUUUGGCACUUCUUGAGUCAGCAAAAGCUUUUCAAAGCCCUCUCUGAGCUGGGGCCUUACAGCCAGCAGAGGCCAGAGUUCUGGCCGGAAUCCAGUUCUUAUCAUUCAAAGUCACUGUUGUUUCUUCUCUGUAGGGGAUAGGAAAGAGAAGACAAUUUUAUGCGUUGCUUGCUGCCAAAAAAAUAUCUCUGGACUCAAGAUGGCGCUGUGAGAACAACCCAGGAUUGGAGCCCGCGUUGAAUUCGCAAACGGUGAGUCAGUGCUGCAUUUCCAGACUGAUCUUUGUUGCCCACAGAACGGGGAAACUCCCAAGUAUAAAAAGACACGGGACGCCAGGCAGUAGGUCUGCCUGGCGAAGCCGGCAGCCGGGGCGGCGGCGGCCGGCCCUACCCAGCAAUCCCCACAGGGCGCGCUUGUCCGGGUGCCUUGUUGAACCAGCAACCUGAGACUUGAGAGGGCUGGACUUGAGACU
rnacentral:lncRNA from 1 species